CCUGCUUUUGUCUUUCAAGAAGCAGAAGCUUUAAAAUAUUCUCUAGCUAAAAUUUUACGGUGCAUUUCUGUGGUUUGGGUUUUUAAAUUAAAAAAAAAAAAAAAAAAAAAAAAACACCAACAAAAAAAGACCUCAGUACAUUCCUGUAUGGUAAAGUUAUCUAGUGGUGAUAAUAAAUCCAAUAGUCUGUGGAUUUUGUGUGUGUUAUUAAAAAGAGAAGAGAAAGAAUCCUUUGUUCAUUGGCAUAAUGCAGUCCUGUCUCUGAACAGUUCUAAUUUGCAAACCAAGUACUUUGUAAAUUGUGGAAACCUGGUUAUAACUUGAAGGCUGAAUAAAAUGGGUCAUCUUAUAACUGAAAGAUAAAUAUAGAUGUAAAAUAGUGCCACAAAUGUCUUUUAAGCAAGAAAAAUAAAUAAAUAAUAGGUUUCAGAACUAGCUCAUUCUUGUGUAGUUUAUGGGUAAAGCAAGAUUACACAUACAGCCCUGCAGCCGAUUCCCAGGACUGCUAAAGUGUGAAGAACAGGAGUGACAUUCCAGUCUUCAAUAAAUCACUAUAAAAAUGUUUAUGAACCCUGCAAUUUACUGUCUUUUAAAUGCAAAUUGAAAGGGGCAUCGUCGCAAGUGUAAAGGAGACCUGCAGUGGCCUAAAGGAAUUAUAAAAUGUUGCAAAAGGCUUCUGAAAUUGUGUGAUCUUAAAUGGUUCUAUUUUAAAAAAUGAUUUCCCAUUUAUACUUCUGUGACAGCUUUGUUAAUUUAUUAAAGAGAUCUCUCUGACUUGCGAAAGGUGUUUAUGAGCAUUAUGCUUCACAGAAGCUGUUCACAGGGGCUUGCAAGGAGUUGCAGUUUAGUUUGGCAGGCAUUGGUGUUAAGUCUGCUGUUCCACGUACAAGUAGUGUGGAAGGCCUUGGGGUUCAAAAAUGUACAAAGCACUGAUCUUGUCUGACAAAAUAUUGGUAAAGUAGGAAAGAUUUCCUGCCUCUUCCCAGCUCCCCCAUGCAGUCAUCUGCUGUGAAAUUCCUAAACACCAUAAAUGAUCAUGACCCAUUGCUGGGUGAACAGUUCAGCAUCCCUCAGCCCACCAUUGAUGAAGUCCAAGUUGACUGAAGAGUAGAUCAUCUUUUCCGUGCUGUAGCUUUCUUCGGUUGAAAAGAACUGAUUUCCACUUACAUGUUUAGUGUUUUUAUCUAGAAAAUAUUCCUCUCUGUGGAAGCAGGUUUAAUCCCUAUAAAUUAGGCAUUAGAAGAGGAGUUUUCAUUAAUUGGAUGGGGGGUUUUUGUUUUUGUUUUUGGUUUUGGUUUUGGUUUUUUGUUGUUGUUUUUUUGUUUGUUUUUUUGUUUUUUUGUUUUUUGUUUCAUUUAUUGGUAAAUUUUGAGGUUUGGUGGGGUUUUUAGUUAAGAGCCAUGAUUUUCUGCAUUCAGCUAAUUGCCACUAAAAACUUUUUUAAUAAAAUAUUCAUUGAGACUGUGGGAUAUGAAUGUGUACAGUUGGAACCCUAUAAUUGUUUGCAUAGCUUAGAAUCCUCUACAGCAUACUUCAUCAGUUCUGUUUAAUUUAAUGACAUAAAUAACCAUGAUGGGCUUACACGAUAUUCAUGCUGUGUACAAGGAAGCAUGGCACUCGGUUUGUAUCAUCCACUGCCACUGAUAUUUCUCCUGGUUUCCAAAUCUUUAUACUCCUUAAGAAAAAAGGUGUGGGUAUCUGAUUUCUUGCAUCCCUUAAGCUAAAUACACUGCUUUGGCACUGACUGAUUAUUUAGCUGUCAGAAAUGGUUGGAGAACGGGCUGUCAGGCUCCAAAGUCCGUAUCCCAUCUUCUUGUCCAGCGUGGGCAGCUUCUCAGUAUACAUGCGAUGGAAGAUCUUUGGAAUCAAAAUGAUGUAAAGAAACCAAUUUGGAAGGUGUGAGUAUUUGCAUGACUCCUCCCGUGGAAAAUAAUACUGCUUGGCUCUAUCACACUGGAGUCAUUCUAACCCCUAAAUAGAGCAGUUGUAGUUUGCAGCUCAAUAGCACCCUGAAUGUAUUGCUGCUCAUUUUGUUGUCAUGCAAAACCACUGAAGCACUGUACCUUUUCCUGCAGCUGUAUGUCUGCCUGGAUGUCGUUUUUGUAAAUGAGUUUAAUUUGUAGGUAUCAUUGCUUGACAGGAUUAAAAAUGCUGUAAUACAGUGUUUUCAGAACAAUGAACUCCUCUCUGCUGUUAGAGCACUCACGGCCUUGCCUGCUGUUUCAGAGCUGCUUGUGCCAUGUGCUUACAAUGCCCAGGACCUUGUCUUCAGUUGUUCUGAUCCA
rnacentral:lncRNA from 1 species